AAAAUCUCGUAAGAGUACAUGGUGGAUGCCUUGACUCAAAAAGACGAUGAAGGACGCAGCAGCCUGCGAUAAGCUUCGGUGAGGUGGCAAGCAACCCUUGACCCGAAGAUUUCCGAAUGGGGGAACCUAUCCUGUUGAAGACAGGAUGUCCGCUCGCUGAAUACAUAGGCGGGUGAGAAGAGUACCCGGUGAACUGAAACAUCUUAGUAGCCGGAGGAAAAGAAAAGAAUUUAAUCUUUUAUCAAUGUUGGCGGUGCUUCGUCAAUCUUGAUAAGAGAUUGUCAUUCCCUUAGUAGUGGCGAGCGAACGGGGAACAGUCCAAACCACUGUAGACCACGCAUGUUUUUUUUCACUUCGGUGAGAUGAAGUAUGCUGAAGGAAUUGAGUCCAUAUGUCUAUGUGGUGUUGCAAGGCUGGUGUGCUGACUACUCAAUGCGGUCAGGCAGAGAACGAUUUGAUUAGCCGAAGCGAACUGGAAAGUUCGGCCGAAGACGGUGAUAGCCCGGUAGGCGAAAAUAAUUUCUACUCUGUGAUACCAGUUCUUAAGUAUCGCGGGACUCGUGAAAUCCCGUGAGAAUCCGGGUCGACUAUGACCCAAGACUAAAUACUUUUUGAGAUCGAUAGUGAACUAGUACCGUGAGGGAAAGGUGAAAAGCAUCCCGGUGAGGGAGAUGAAAUAGUAUCUGAAACCAUGUACUUACAAGCAGUCGGAGCCCGGUUUACCGGGUGACGGCGUGCCUAUUGAAGAAUGAGCCAACGAGUUUGUUGCAUGCGGCUUGAUUAAUUCGCCGAAGGCGAAGUAGUCUCAGUGAAAGCGAGGGUUAAUCGCCCGUUAUCUUACUUAUUAGAAAUGGCAAUGAAAUUUUUGUUGCCUUUCUAAUAUGUAAGAGUGUCGCAUGUACAAGACCCGAAGCCGGGUGAUCUAGCCAUGGCCAGGUUGAACCUUGUAGAAAUACAAGGGGAGGACCGAACCCGUAAGUCGUGCAACACUUUGGGAUGAGCUGUGGUUAGCGGAGAAAUUCCAAUCGAACUCGGCAAUAGCUGGUUCUCCUCGAAAUAGCUUUAGGGCUAGCCUUGAGCGCUGAACAUAGGGGGUAGAGCACUGAAUAGAGGCGGGGCGCAAGCUACCGUCUUUAACCAAACUCCGAAUACCUAUGCGUGAAGCUCAGGAGUCAGACUGUGGGGGCUAAGCUCCACUAGUCAAAAGGGAAACAGCCCAGAUCGCAAUCUAAGGUCCCUAAAUAUAUACUAAGUGUUAAAGGUGGUGUCGUGACUGCGACAACUAGGAGGUUGGCUUAGAAGCAGCCAUCCUUUAAAGAAAGCGUAAUAGCUCACUAGUCUAGUCGUCUCGCGCCGAAAAUGUAUCGGGGCUAAGUAUAUUACCGAAGAUGCGGACUCUCCAUGCGAAUGGAUGAGUGGUAGAGGAGCAUUCCAAACCCGCUGAAGCCGUAGUGUGAGCUGCGGUGGAGGAUUUGGAAGAGAGAAUGUUGGCAUAAGUAGCACAAAGGCGGGUGAAAACCCCGCCCACCGAAAGUCUAAGGGUUCCUGGGCAACGCAACUCGACCCAGGGUUAGUCGGUCCUAAGGCGAGGUCGCUGUAGUGGCGACGUAGUCGAUGGAUGAGCUGGUUAAUAUUCCAGCACUACUUCAGUUUUCCGAUGGGGGGACGAAGUUCCGUGAUUCAAGCGUUUCUAUGGUAUGAACGUCGCUAGCCGCAAGAAUAGAUCCAGGCAAAUCCGGGUCGAUAUUUCAAGCGGUCGGCGGAAGACAAAGCCCUCGGGUGGCGUCAAUUUGAAUAAAGGAGCUUCCAAGAAAAACCUCUAGGGUUAAGGCUGAAGUAUCCGUACCGUAAACCGACACAGGUAGACGAGGCGAGAAGCCUAAGGUGUACGAGAGAACCCUUGUUAAGGAACUCGGCAAAACAGCGGUCGUAAGUUAGCAAUAAGACCUGCCCGGAGCAAUCCGGGCCGCAGCGAAAGAUUUCAAGUGACUGUUUAUCAAAAACACAGCUCCCUGCUAAAUCGCAAGAUGAUGUAUAGGGGGUGAUGCCUGGCCAGUGUCCGAACGUUAAGAGGAGAGGUUAGUCCUUCGGGGCAAAGCUUUGAAUUUAAGCGCGGAUGAACGCCGGCCGUAACUAUAACGGUCCUAAGGUAGCGAAAUUCCUUGUCGGGUAAGUUCC
rnacentral:rRNA from 1 species